rnacentral:lncRNA from 1 species
UAGUGUCAUAGAUGCUAGCUCGAGUUGGAGGUCGUCGGAUAUCCUAUCACACUAACAAGUUAUUUAUAUCAAUGAUUUUCUAGCAUUUUAAGUGUAUGACAUGUAUAGGGAUUUGGUUAUUGUGUACAUGAUAGAAUAUUGGCCUAUGCUAACUGAAGGUCAUUGUUGUAUAAGGCCAUUUAGUGUGGCCAAUAUUUGCUAUGUUAUAAGUCUAUGAUGAACCAUUACAUGGAUGUGCUU